UUCUUUUCCUUCUUCUUCUGUUUUUUUUCUUCUCCUUUCUCCUUUUUCUUCUUCUCCUUUCUCCUUCUUCUUCUUCUCCUUUCUCCUUCUUCUUCUUCUCAUUUCUCCUUCUUGUUCUUCUCCUUUCUCCUUCUUCUUCUUCUCCUUUUCUCCUUUACUAAACAGGAAACUAACCUAACUAAACCUAAAAUAAAACUGAACCUAAACUAAAAUAAUUUAAAAAC
rnacentral:lncRNA from 1 species